UGGGGAAUAUUGCGCAAUGGGCGAAAGCCUGACGCAGCGACGCCGCGUGAGGGAUGAAGGUCCUCGGAUCGUAAACCUCUGUCAGGGGGGAAGAAGCGCCUGUGAGCAAAUAGUUCAUGGGUUUGACGGUACCCCCAAAGGAAGCACCGGCUAACUCCGUGCCAGCAGCCGCGGUAAUACGGAGGGUGCGAGCGUUAAUCGGAAUCACUGGGCGUAAGGCGCACGUAGGUGGCGUGGUAAGUCGGGGGUGAAAUCCCACAGCUCAACUGUGGAACUGCCUUCGAUACUGUCAUGCUUGAGUAUCGGAGAGGGUGGCGGAAUUCCAGGUGUAGGAGUGAAAUCCGUAGAUAUCUGGAAGAACACCGGUGGCGAAGGCGGCCACCUGGACGAAAACUGACGCUGAGGUGCGAAAGCGUGGGGUAGCAAACAGGAUUAGAUACC
rnacentral:rRNA from 1 species